GGAAAGGACCCGGUCAGCCCUGGGAGCACAGGUGAAGGCAAUUCAGCUGUGUGACCAGAGGGGUGGAGCCUGGCUACACCUCUCCUAGACCCCAUUUAAGGGCUGACUUCUAGGGGGGAAGGGUUUUUGGUUGGAGAUCUGUCUCUGCUGGAGCUUUCCCCUGUAUGCCUGGGUCUUUGGAGAUGGCCAUAUGAUUGGGCAGCUUCCCACUGCUCUGCAGCCUCCAUCCAGUUUGUGGCGUGGCAUUGCCACCUAGUGACACCGGGCAGGGUGCUGCUGCCUGCCGCGCUGCAAUUCCCCCUCGCAUCAGAGAACAUACAAAUCACAACCUGUAGUUACAACGCCUCUUAUUGCUGGAGUUGCUGUUGCUAACAGAACCGACGUUUCCCUGCUGGCAGCGGGUAACUACUCACGAUGAGCAUACAGGUAUUUCCUUGCAUGGUUCAGUUUUUAAAAGUUACACCAAAGCAAUGUCUCUGUUAGAGAAAUUAAGACCACCGCAAUUAGUCUUCAAUUCUCCAGAAUUGGUCUGCUGUUGGGAGGAGUAUCCAUAGUCCAGGAUCUUAGAAGUCUUGUAUUCUUAUCUGGAUAGUAAUAGAGCUGCCUCUGGACCCACACCUCACCAGCUCUUAAUGUAUUUCUGCAGUGUCUGAUAUGCAAAAAUGAGUAACAGUGAUGUGCCUGAGGACAGCAUAGCUUUGGUAGCACAACAUGCCAAGUGUCACCUGAGCUGGACAGGGCGUCGCUAUGAACUCUGAGCACAAGGCACGGUGCAUGCAGCCCUGCCAAUUGUGCUUGCAGACUGUGCAAUGAGAGGGGGGUAAGAGUGGAAAAGCAAGGAGCUAGCAGCUCGUUCUUCAUGUGGCAGCUGGCUCCCUGCCUCCCAGCCACAGAAAAAUCAAGAACCACCUGGGGAAAUGCGGUGGAAUUUUGCAAAUGCAUAUCAAAAGAUGUCACGCAAGAAGGAAAAAACAGUACAUACAAAUCACGCUUCCGUGCAUUUUUGAUAAUGACUUAGAUUAUUGCUUGGUAAUAGUGCCGUAUGAGCCCAUUUCUCAACCCGCAGAACCACGGGAGCGUACAGCACAGCCUGUGAGGAGCGAGCGCUUGUCAGCCAGGUGCCAAAUGCAAAUGUCAAACACGCGAGCAAAAAAUAUCCUGAGGGCAUCUUUCAUGAAAGCAGCA
ensembl:lncRNA